AAAUGCUUUUACAGGUACUUCACUCUUAUAAGGAAAACAAAGCUGGAAGAAACAAUUUUAAAUUAAAAAAAAAAGAAUCUAAGGCUGAAGUUUGUUCAACACAGGACAGAGAAAUAAAUACUUUCAUUUCAUCUAUGGUAAAGGUUAACAUUCAUUACAAUGCUCACCCCUCUUUUUCAAAGGCUGGGCCAGUGUGGUGACUCAGGCCUAUAAUCGCAGCACUUAAAAAGCCCAGGAAUAGUUUUCUAAAUUCAAGGCCAGU
rnacentral:lncRNA from 1 species